rnacentral:rRNA from 1 species
UACGUAGGGGGCGAGCGUUGUCCGGAUUUAUUGGGCGUAAAGAGCUCGUAGGCGGUUCGGUAAGUCGGAUGUGAAAUCUCCACGCUCAACGUGGAGGGGCCAUUCGAUACUGCCGUGACUCGAGUCCGGUAGGGGAGUGUGGAAUUCUCGGUGUAGCGGUGAAAUGCGCAGAGAUCGGGAGGAACACCCGUAGCGAAGGCGGCACUCUGGGCCGGUACUGACGCUGAGGAGCGAAAGCGUGGGGAGCGAACAGG